CCCUUCUCGGGGUUGCAUCUGGAGAGUUUUCAGUACUCUAUCAGUCUUGAUAUGGGAGGGAGAGUCAAGCAGAGGCCUACCCAUUCCAUUCAUAGCCUGAGCAGUGGCUAGCGAGUGGAAGGCUAUCUGCUACAAGC